GGAUGUGGCUCAAGUGGUAGCGCGCUCGCCUAGCACGCGUGAGGCUCUGGGUUUGAUUCUCAGCACCA
rnacentral:tRNA from 1 species